rnacentral:rRNA from 1 species
UUCUUAUGUGGUUGACGGUACCAGAGGAAUAAGCACCGGCUAACUCCGUGCCAGCAGCCGCGGUAAUACGGAGGGUGCAAGCGUUAUCCGGAUUCACUGGGUUUAAAGGGUGCGUAGGCGGGUAAGUAAGUCCGUGGUGAAAUCUCUGAGCUUAACUCAGAAACUGCCGUGGAUACUAUUUGNCUUGAAUAUUGUGGAGGUGAGCGGAAUAUGUCAUGUAGCGGUGAAAUGCUUAGAUAUGACAUAGAACACCAAUUGCGAAGGCAGCUCACUACACAAUCAUUGACGCUGAGGCACGAAAGCGUGGGGAUCAAACAGGAUUAGAUACCCUGGUAGUCCACGCCCUAAACGAUGAUUACUCGACAUCAGCGAUACACUGUUGGUGUCUGAGCGAAAGCAUUAAGUAAUCCACCUGGGAAGUACGAUCGCAAGAUUGAAACUCAAAGG